rnacentral:tRNA from 1 species
AAGGAUUUAAGUUAAUCUAAACUUGGAGCCUUCAAAGUUCCCAAUAAAGAACCGCUCUUUAAGCCUUA